rnacentral:rRNA from 1 species
AGUGAACGCUGGCGGUAGGCCUAACACAUGCAAGUCGAACGGCAGCACAGUAAGAGCUUGCUCUUACGGGUGGCGAGUGGCGGACGGGUGAGGAAUACAUCGGAAUCUACUUUUUCGUGGGGGAUAACGUAGGGAAACUUACGCUAAUACCGCAUACGACCUACGGGUGAAAGCAGGGGAUCUUCGGACCUUGCGCGAUUGAAUGAGCCGAUGUCGGAUUAGCUAGUUGGCGGGGUAAAGGCCCACCAAGGCGACGAUCCGUAGCUGGUCUGAGAGGAUGAGCAGCAACACUGGAACUGAGACACGGUCCAGACUCCUAAGGGAGGCAGCAGUGGGGAAUAUUGGACAAUGGGCGCAAGCCUGAUCCAGACAUACCGCGUGGGUGAAGAAGGACUUCGGGUUGUAAAGCCCUUUUGUUGAGAAAGAAAAGAAGCAGGUUAAUACCGCGCUGUUCUGACGGUACCCAAAGAAUAAGCACCGGCUAACUUCGUG